GUCCCAGCAUGACAUAGUGGUUUAAGUACUGGACUACAACUCUGGAGACCAGGGUUUGAUCCCCAGCUUGGACA